GUCAUUGCUAUUGGAGUUCGAUUUAGCCAUGCUAGUUGCACGAGUUUAGACUCGUGGCGGAAAGCUCAGUAACACGUGAUCAAACUACCCUAUGGAUUCGAAUAACCUCGGGAAACUGAGGCUAAUUCGGAAUAAGGCUCCAUCGCUGGAAUGCGUGGAGCUGGAAACGCUCCGGUGCCAUAGGAUGUGAUUGCGGCCGAUUAGGUAGACGGUGGGGUAACGGCCCACCGUGCCGAUAAUCGGUACGGGUUGUGAGAGCAAGAGCCCGGAGAUGGAUUCUGAGACAAGAAUCCAGGCCCUACGGGGCGCAGCAGGCGCGAAAACUUUACACUGCACGACAGUGCGAUAAGGGAACUCCAAGUGCGAGGGCAUAACGUCCUCGCUUUUGUGUAUCGUAAGGUGGUACACGAAUAAGAGCUGGGCAAGACCGGUGCCAGCCGCCGCGGUAAUACCGGCAGCUCAAGUGAUGACCAAUUUUAUUGGGCCUAAAGCGUCCGUAGCCGGCCAGACAGGUCCGUCGGGAAAUCUGCUCGCUCAACGAGCAGGCGUCCGGCGGAAACCCGCUGGCUUGGGGCCGGAAGAUCCAAGGGGUACGUCUGGGGUAGGAGUGAAAUCCUGUAAUCCUAGACGGACCACCGAUCGCGAAAGCACCUUGGAAGGACGGACCCGACGGUGAGGGACGAAAGCUAGGGUCAUGAACCGGAUUAGAUACCCGGGUAGUCCUAGCUGUAAACGAUGCUCGCUAGGUGUGGCACAGGCUACGAGCCUGUGCUGUGCCACAGUGAAGACGUAAGCGAGCCGCCUGGGAAGUACGUCCGCAAGGAUGAAACUUAAAGGAAUUGGCGGGGGAGCACUACAACCGGAGGAGCCUGCGGUUUAAUUGGACUCAACGCCGGACAUCUCACCAGCAUCGACAAUAGCUGUGACAGUCAGUGUGAUGAGCUUACUAGAGCUUUUGAGAGGAGGUGCAUGGCCGCCGUCAGCUCGUACCGUGAGGCGUCCUGUUAAGUCAGG
rnacentral:rRNA from 1 species